AUGAUAAGGCCGAGGUAUCUGGCUGCUUUGGACAGUGGUAUUGCUUGUCCAUUCAACACCAAGGGAAUGCGGACAAAGUUUCUAAGUGUGAAAACCACGUUUUCCGACUUAUUUGGAUUUAAUUUGGGCCCGUCAGCAUCCGUUCAUUCCUGGAUAUCAUCCAGGCUGACCUGCAGCAUGUCCACAGUUUCCUCGUAAGUUGGGGCGCUCGCGAACACUGAAGUAUCGUCCGCGAACACUCCCAGCUCAGAGUUUCCUCUAGGCUUUGAAAAAUGCCAUCAGUUUGGAGGUGAUUUGUUGAGGAUCAUCAGUUACAUUCACAAAUUUAUCCUUGAAACCAAACCAAGCAGCUAAGAUGGAAUCUAACUCCCCAGAGGAUAUUUUCAUCCAAGAAUCGUCAUCAGGAGGUGGUAAAUUCUUUUCUUGUUUUCUCAUUUUUUCUUCAUCUAUUUGCAAUGUGCCAAGGAGAUCCAAGAUCCGUUUACCGGUGACCGGCUGAGAUCGAUUUUCCAUUUCUAUGUAGUGAUCCUGAGCUGUGUGCUCGAGCAAACUGUACUCUUUUGAGCCUUCCAGUCAUUUCUUAAAAUACCCAUUUUUUAUUAAACUUUGCUUGUAUGUAUGCCAUCCUUUGUCGGUUUCCAAGUCUUGUUUAGACGCUGAUGUUACUUUCAUUGAGACACAAGUAUCUCAAACCCACAAGCAAUUUUGACUCCCAACAUGUGAGACCCGAAUGCGGGAUCUUUAGGGGGAGGUAAACGCCAGCCAACUCUUUUAUCUGGCAUAUAAUUUUGUUGAGAGAUCAGGGCGUAGAGGCAUUUUGAAAACUUAACACUGCGCAGAACAGAGGGUUGAGGAGGAAACUUCUUCAUUAAGCGACAUACCUUGACGUCAAUGGGAUCUCGGUGACAGAAGGCGAGAACAGCGGAUGAUAUUAGACAAGGACCAGCAUUCUAAUAAUGCAGCAACAGAGACUGGUAAAAACGCAUGAGCUUUGUGAAAAAGACUAGCCAUUUUUUCAGGAUAGCCAUGUAUUCUUUUACGAAUACAAUCCUGCACUGAUUGACUGGCUCUGGUCCACUCAGGAUGGUUUCUAAUUUGCUCAUGAAAAUCAGCCGAUGCUGGAGUUUUGUCAUUUUCAGGAGGCACAAGAUGAAUUUCUCCUUGAAAGAUAAAUACUCGCCCUUCACAUUUUUCAGGCACCGCCCAACGAAGUAGAUAAUCAGCUGCUUUAAAAAGUAAAAAUUCACCAUCAACGUCAGCGACUCUUGCUACUAAUCCAGGCAUAUCUUCAGUUAGCCGCAUAAGUAAGAAGACUAUUAACCAUUCAUCCUCAAUAUUAUCUCCAUAGUGUGUUAUGCCAUACAAAUGGGCAGGAAGCUCUGUGCAUGAAAUGAUAAGUGCGGAUAUGGAGGAGACGUUGGGCAAUCCUUUGCUAAGAAAAAGGGGAAAACAGCUCAGGUACAUCCGCCGCAGCUCGUAGAUCCAAGUGAAGAAAGGUUUCUCUCCAAAAUUUGCAAAUUGACGUCAUAGGGAGGCUCUCUGGUUGAAAGGGGGGAGGGGAACUGAUUGCAAGAACGGUGCAAUCAAGAGAAACUUUUGACAAUCGGUAUAGAGGGAGCUAAAAUCGGUAGCUUUAACUUGAGGGAGGGUAGGAAGGAGAAGAGGGGGGUAUUUGGGGGAAACCUGGGGGAGCCCCCGCCCCCAUACGCGACACGGAAACAGAAAACAACAUCCGCGGAACUUUCACGGAAAAACCGCUUGAAUGGCUUUCAAGCUUCUACUACCUUCCGGGUGGCACAUGACAACAAAAUACAACCCUCAGAAAAGGGUAACAUAAACAUAGGUGAGAUAAGUGGUCGCUGGUUGUAGUCUGGAGGUCAUUGACCGAGAAUGAAUUGACAUACAUUUGCUAUGCACCAAUGACCCAGUCAGCUGGAUCGGCGUUGCCGUUGUGGCGCUUAAAUAUCUGAUUUACAGGUUAAAACAGAUCAACAAAUGAAAGUUAAGGAAAGACUGGACAGGGCCGUCGACGACUCAUCGGGAACAAUUAUGUACACAACAGCAUCAGUCAUAAUGGUAAAGAAAAAAGAAAUCGAAGUUGAUACGACUUUCAGAAAACACAACUGACUUCCGGGUAAUAUAUCCUCAGUGGCGAACUGACAACACUGUAAUUGGGCUCACAAUAGCGUCUGAUACUCGCUCUGUGAGAACUUCGUCGCGGAGAGAGAUAAGUUGCUGCGAGUGCUGUAAACAGCAAUAUGAAAUCGCUGGAAAAAUUGAGCCCAAUAAUUCCACACACAUCAACAAUACAUAUUGAAAAUUCGAGCGGAAAUCGUCCCGCGUCGGUUCUAGCAGAACCCGGACUCAAUAACACAUACCAUCUUCGGGCAAUCAGGUGGUACGGGUGGCUACCUCGACCACAACGCAUAUCACAAGCUUGCUUUAGAAGCUCAUGAGAGAAGGCGAUGUAGAAAUACCAGGAUUCCAUGUAAAUUCGGGGCAUGGCACACAAGACUCAUAGUUCUGACUUACACGGGUGAAUCUAGAAGCAUUAGAAAUUGAAAGCUGACGGGUUUCACUUUCCCACAUUCAGGACCUAGUGUAUAUCAUUGCGCGCGCCAUUCUUGGGUGUUUUACAGCUUUUGUAUUGCAGAUACGGCCAAACGGACGAAAUUUUUGUCCCUCUAGGACCGUAACUCGGCGUUUUCCAUGGGAAAACAGUGUUACUUUAUCUAAAAACCUCAAAUUUCAACCUGUGUCACUUAAGUCGUUUGAGCACCGGGUAAAAAUUGUUUUAAAUUUUUUUCCUUGUACGAGGCUUCUAGUCUAUCCACACAUCAACUUUUAAGACCAGGACCUCCUUCGAAUUCGAGAAUUUAAAAAAUAAGAAACACCCUAAUGUCCGUUGAUUUUGUUGAAGUUCUUCCUCUUCUUUUUCUUCCUUUCUUUACUCUUUAGUCAACAGUGAAUUAAAUUCGAGUGCGUCGGCUGAUAAUGAUGCUAUUUUACACAAGGAUAUAACGAAUACCUCUCGAGUAUGUUUGAGUAAUAAUUAUAAUAAACUUCAAACGUGGAAAGGAGCUUGAAGAACGUAUGGAUGUGUGCUAUAUUUGGCGCAGAUUACGAAGGACGAUCAAAAUACUCUGCGGAUGCAUCGAUGUUCGAAAUAAAACUUCCGUUUGCUAUACUUAGAAAUCGUCCGAAUGGAGAAUUUGCAUGAAAUUUUUUUAUUGCUUCAUCUGAAAGCACUUCAAGAGCUGAUCUCACUGUAUUUUUUAAAAUUUUUUUCUGAUAUGGGAAAUAGUAUUAAA
rnacentral:lncRNA from 1 species